AGUAAGGAAUAUUGGUCAAUGGGCGAAAGCCUGAACCAGCCAUCCAGCGUGCAGGAAGAAGGCCCUAUGGGUUGUAAACUGCUUUUAUCAGGGAAGAAACCUCUGGAUUCACUCCGGAGCUGACGGUACCUGAAGAAUAAGCACCGGCUAACUCCGUGCCAGCAGCCGCGGUAAUACGGAGGGUGCGAGCGUUAUCCGGAAUUACUGGGUUUAAAGGGUGCGUAGGCGGCUUUGUAAGUCAGGAGUGAAAGUUUGCGGCUCAACCGUAAAAUUGCUUUUGAUACUGCAGAGCUAGAAUCAGGAUGAGGUUAGCGGAAUGUGGCAUGUAGCGGUGAAAUGCAUAGAUAUGCCAUAGAACACCAAUUGCGAAGGCAGCUGGCUAGACCUGCAUUGACGCUGAGGCACGAAAGCGUGGGGAGCGAA
rnacentral:rRNA from 1 species